AUGAACGCUGGCGGCGUGCCUAAUACAUGCAAGUCGAGCGAACAGAUGAGGAGCUUGCUCCUCUGACGUUAGCGGCGGACAGGUGAGUAACACGUGGAUAACCUACCUAUAAGACUGGGAUAACUUCGGGAAACCGGAGCUAAUACCGGAUAAUAUAUUGAACCGCAUGGUUCAAUAGUGAAAGACGGUUUUGCUGUCACUUAUAGAUGGAUCCGCGCCGCAUUAGCUAGUUGGUAAGGUAACGGCUUACCAAGGCAACGAUGCGUAGCCGACCUGAGAGGGUGAUCGGCCACACUGGAACUGAAACACGGUCCAGACUCCUACGGGAGGCAGCAGUAGGGAAUCUUCCGCAAUGGGCGAAAGCCUGACGGAGCAACGCCGCGUGAGUGAUGAAGGUCUUCGGAUCGUAAAACUCUGUUAUUAGGGAAGAACAAAUGUGUAAGUAACUAUGCACGUCUUGACGGUACCUAAUCAGAAAGCCACGGCUAACUACGUG
rnacentral:rRNA from 1 species